UACGGGGGGGGGCAAGCGUUGUUCGGAAUUACUGGGCGUAAAGGGCUCGUAGGUGGCCAACUAAGUCGGACGUGAAAUCCCCUCGGCUUAACCGGGGAACUGCGUCUGAUACUGGAUGGCUUGAGGUUGGGAGAGGGAUGCGGAAUUCCAGGUGUAGCGGUGAAAUGCGUAGAUAUCUGGAGGAACACCGGUGGCGAAGGCGGCAUCCUGGACCAAUUCUGACGCUGAGGAGCGAAAGCCAGGGGAGCAAACGGG
rnacentral:rRNA from 1 species